AGGGAGUGGAACUAAGAGUGAGGGAGAGAAAAUUUGGUUAGCUUCAUCAUCUGCUGAUCAUAAUCAAUAAGAGAAAGGCAAGGAAAAUAGGAGGGAUAGCUGGUGCAGACCUUGAGGAAACAAAGCUGGGAAAAUCUGGUCAGUCUGCAAUUUUUAACUCUUAAAGGAAAGAGGAAGUAGCCGUGAACCAGGAAACCAACUCGAGACUCGAGAGUAGUCAUUUGAAUCUUUGGAGUUGGAGAUUGAAAAGUGAUUGGAUGGAAUUGGAAAGUUGUUUUGGGAAAUUC